AUUGAACGCUGGCGGCAGGCCUAACACAUGCAAGUCGAGCGGAGCGGCGGACGGGUGAGUAAGGCCUAGGAAUCUGCCUGGUAGUGGUGGAUAACGUCCGGAAACGGGCGCUAAUACCGCAUACUAUCAGAUGAGCCUAGGUCGGAUUAGCUAGUUGGUGGGGUAAAGGCCUACAAAGGCGACGGUCCGUAACUGGCAUGAGAGGAUGAUCAGUCAAACUGGAACUGAGCAACGGUCCAGACUCCUACGGGAGGCAGCAGGGGGGAAUAUUGGACAAUGGGCGAAAGCCUGAUCAAGACAUGCCGCGUGUGUGAAGAAGGUCUUCGGAUUGUAAAGUACUUUAAGUUGGGAGGCGUUACCAACAGAAUAAGCACCGGCUAACUACGUGCCAGCAGCCGCGGUAAUAC
rnacentral:rRNA from 1 species